UACGUAGGGAGCAAGCGUUGUCCGGAUUUACUGGGUGUAAAGGGUGCGUAGGCGGCCCUGCAAGUCAGGCGUGAAAGGCGGAGGCUUAACCUCCGAGCUGCGUUUGAAACUGUGGGGCUUGAGUGGAGCAGAGGCAGGCGGAAUUCCCGGUGUAGCGGUGAAAUGCGUAGAGAUCGGGAGGAACACCAGUGGCGAAGGCGGCCUGCUGGGCUUUAACUGACGCUGAAGCACGAAAGCAUGGGUAGCAAACAGGAUUAGAUACCCUGGUAGUCCAUGCCGUAAACGAUGAUUACUAGGUGUGGGUGGUCCGACCCCAUCCGUGCCGGAGUUAACACAAUAAGUAAUCCACCUGGGGAGUACGACCGCAAGGUUGAA
rnacentral:rRNA from 1 species